rnacentral:misc_RNA from 1 species
UCAAGGAAAGUAACUUAAAAACUCCAUCAGGAUGAGGGUAAGAACUUCCUGGGAAGUAGAGAGUUUGAACUAAACAAGGCCUAAAGAAACUACGGACAUGCCUAACAAACUAAUCUUAUUUUUGCAAGUCCAGCGUCCUCCAGCUGUGGAAGAAGCUCCUAACAUGCAUCUUUGGCAAACACAAAUACAUGGCUCCUUCUUGUCACCCCUUAUGCGCAAAAUAUACCCGAACAUGUCUACCAUCCAGAAACUGACCAUUCAUUUCUUUCAAAGCCAUAGAGGCUGCAGAUUCGGAAGUGAACUGCACAAAUCCAUACCCUUGUGACUUGCCACUCACAUGAUCACAUAUAAUUUUAACUUCAAUUAUUUCCCCAUGCUGUCUAAACGCAUCCUUCAAAACAGUUUCAUUGGUGUCAUAAGAAAGCCCUCCAACAAAUAAUUUGGUGCAGGAGUGUCGAGUCCAUUGCCAUCUCCCUAAAGAAACUGUACUGCAAAGACUAACACUGCGACGACUCCAACACUGCAUUAGAUCUUGUCCUCAGCCACCACAACCAACUGCAUAAUUGCUAAUUUAGCAAUUAGCACAGACCAGAG